UACGGAGGAUGCGAGCGUUAUCCGGAUUUAUUGGGUUUAAAGGGUGCGCAGGCGGCACGGCAAGCCGGCGGUCAAAUCGCGGGGCUCAACCCCGCCCAGCCGUCGGAACUGCCGGGCUAGAGUGGGCGAGAAGUGCGCGGAAUGCGUGGUGUAGCGGUGAAAUGCAUAGAUAUCACGCAGAACUCCGAUUGCGAGGGCAGCGCACCGGCGCCCUACUGACGCUCAGGCACGAAAGCGUGGGUAUCGAACAGG
rnacentral:rRNA from 1 species